rnacentral:pre_miRNA from 1 species
UGGACAGAUUAUUGUAUUCGAUUGUAUUCGACUGUAUUCACAGCGUGAAACAGGGGAUUACACUGUUUUUAAACGGAAAGUGAAUCGAUUAACAUAAUAGACUCCU